CCCUUAGAUGUUCUGGGCCGCACGCGCGCUACACUGACUACUUCAACGAGUUGUUUCCUUGAUCGAAAGGUCUGGGUAAUCUUUGAAAGGUAGUCGUGAUGGGGAUAGAUCCUUGCAAUUUUUUAUCUUCAACGAGGAAUUCCUAGUAAACGCAAGUCAUCAGCUUGCAUUGAUUACGUCCCUGCCCUUUGUACACACCGCCCGUCGCACCUACCGAUUGAAUGGUCCGGUGAAUCUUUAGGACUGUGGCUGAGGCCUUGCCUUGUGCGGGUCUGGCCGUGGGAAUUUAGUUAAACCUUACCAUUUAGAGGAAGGUGAAGUCGUAACA
rnacentral:rRNA from 1 species